rnacentral:lncRNA from 1 species
GAGAAGCAGGCAAGGGCGCGGAGGGAAGAAUCGGGAGGGCGGCCAGAGCACGAUGGAAUCUCGCUCUGUCUCCCAGGCUGAAGUGCAAUGACGCAAUCUCGGCUCAAUGCAGCCUCCGCCUCCCAGGUUUAAGCGAUUAUCCCGCCUCAGUCUCACAAGUAGCUGGGAUUACAGGUGCCCACCACCACGCCCAGUGCAUUUUGCCUCCUGCCAUGAUUCUGAGGCCUCCCCAGCCCUGUGAAACUAGAUGGGGUUUCGCCAGGCUGGUCUCAAACUCCUGGACUCAAAUGAUCUGCAUGACUUUUCCUCCCAAAGUGCUGAGAUUACAGGUGAAAGCCACCAUGCUAGGCCUCAUUCAUGCAUUUAAAUAGUAAAUGGAGUGAUUGUAUUCUAAAUUUGCUAGGGCUUCUAUAACAAAGUAACGCAGACUGGGUGGCUUGAGUAACAGAAAUUUAUUUUCUCACAUUCUGGAGGAUGGAAGUCCAAGAUCAAAGUGCCAGCAGAGUGGUUUUGUCUUCCUUGGUUUGUAGAUGGCCAUCCUCUUGCUGCCUCAUCACACUGUGUCUGUGCACACCUGGGGGCUCUCCGUGUAUCUAAAUUUCCACUUCUUAUAAGAAAACCAGUCAGAAUGGAAUAAAGUCUUCCUCUAUGACCUCAUUUUAACUUAUUACCUCAUGCCCUAUCUCCAAAUACAGUCACAUUCUGAGUUACUGGGUGUUAGGGUUUAAACACAUGAACCUGGAUGAGGGGACACAAUUCAGCCUAUAGAAGUGACUUUAAUUGCGAAGAGCUUAGAGUUUCUUUAAAUCUAGAAUCUAGUGCAACUUCUUCAAAAUUUUCACUCUAUAUAAAUUAACCAUGAUCUAAUUUGCUAAUAAAAUGCAUUUAUUUAUUAAAAUGACAUUCCUGAAUUAGCUUUAUAGGACAAUAUACACACAUGUGUACAUAUUUGAGUAUAUAUACAUGCAUACAUACACUAAACAUAUAUGUUAGAGUAUUGGAGAGACAGCAAGGCAGUAUGGUUAUGGCUACGUGUUAUUCAUCCACACAUUUACAACCAAAAGUAUAGGUUUAUUUAUUGACCAAUUAGAUAUGGCCAAAUGAAUAACCAAAAUAGUACAUUUUCAUCAUGCUGAAAUCUUUCCUUUUAAAAAUGCACUUGACUAAGUUUCUCUUUUAGAUUAACCUACAAUUUUAUUUCUACAUUCAGCUUCAUUUUUGGAAACAUUUGAAUAGACUAAAAUAAAUUAUUUGCAGUUGUACUGUGAGUUCAAAGUAAUCUCAAGUACGUUAAGACCUCCCAUUGUUGUGGAUCAUAUUUUCCAAAAAUGGCUACAACAAUAUUCCUAGUCCGACAGACCCUUGUAACUUUCCAGCCAAGAGUAGUUUAUCUCUCCUCUAGACACAGUUUUUAAAACUUGAUGGACCUUUGUGAAUGCUUGAACAAAUAGAAUGCAGCAGAAGCGAUAUUAUGGGAUUUCGGAGAACAUGUCAUAAAAAAAUAUAUAGUCUCUCUCUCACUUUCUUUUUCUCCAUCUCUCAUUCUGGAACCCUGAGCAACUAUGUAAGAAGUCUGGCUGCCAUGAUGCCACCAUGCUGGAGGGACCACAUGGACAUACCAUGAAGAUAUAUAGAGAAAUGCUUUAGAAACCUCAGCUGUUCCGUCUUUCAGCUAUUUGAGUCUUCCUAGGCCAAGGGCCAGAUAUAUAAACAAAGAAGACUUGAUGGUGACUCCAGCCUUAGUCAACGUCUAACUGCAACCACGUGAGAGACUUUCAACCAGAACUAUGCAGUGGAGCUGCUUCUGAACUCCUGACCCAUAGAAACCAUGAAUGAUAAUAAAUGAUUGCUGUUUUCCUUAAA